CAAGACUUCUUCCUCCUCAUGAGACAACAACAACUUCAUCUUCUUCCUCUCUCUCUCGCGCGCUCUUCUCUCUCUCUCUCUCUCUCUCUCUCUCUCUCUCUCUCUCUCCUCUGUGUUCAGUGCUUCUUCUUCGUCCUCCUCUCUCACCUUGAAAUCAAAACGAAACAAUAAGAAUUGAAACAUUUUUGAAAAGAUUAACGCGGAAGAGAAAAACCUUCAUCACUAAAAUUCCUUGUUCAUUGAUGUUGCAAAGACACAAAAUCUGAAACCCUAUUCCUUUUUCACUCAAAUCGCAAAAGCCUUGGACAUGUUCGUUCUUGUUCUCUCACGACUCAAAAUCGCAAAAAC
rnacentral:lncRNA from 1 species